CAUGUUCAAGGUAAUUCAGAGGUCUGUGGGGCCAGCCAGCCUGAGUCUGCUCACCUUCAAAGUCUAUGCAUCACCUAAAAAAGACUCACCUCACAAAACUUCUGUGAAGGUUAAUGAGCUUUCACUCUACUCCGUCCCUGAGGGUCAAUCUAAAUAUGUGGAGGAGCCAAGGACCCCACUUGAAGAAAGCAUUUCACAUCUCCGAUGUUACUGCGAGCCAUAUACAAGUUGGUGUCAGGAAAUGUACUCACAAACUAAGCCCAGGAUGCAGAGCUUGGUUCAAUGGGGGUUAGGCAGCUAUGAGUAUCUCCAAAAUGCACCUCCUGGUUUUUUUCCAAGACUUGGUGUUAUUGGUUUUGCUGGCAUUGUUGGACUUCUUUUGGCUAGAGGUUCAAAAAUAAAGAAGCUGGUGUAUCCACCUGGAUUCAUGGGACUUGCUGCCUCUCUUUAUUAUCCACAACAAGCCAUUGUAUUUGUCCAGGUCAGUGGGGAGAAAUUAUAUGACUGGGGUUUACGAGGAUACAUAGUUGUAGAAGAUUUGUGGAAGGAGAACUUUCAAAAGCCAGGAAAUGUGAAGAAUUCACCUGGAAAUAAUUAGAAUGCUCCAUGCUCUGCCCAUUUUAAUCAG